CAUCGUAGAGAUUUGAUUCAUAGAUCUAGAAAGAAAAGGAGAGGAUCUCUUUGUUCUUUGUCUUCUUCAUGUUCUUCUUAGAUUAGCCCACAAUAUGGUGUCUUUAUGAGCUAGCACUUUCAGAGAGAUCGAUCAGCAUAAGAGCUUCAUGUGGAUAUCCAUAGAGAUCGGAUAUAUGUACGGCUGCUGAACAUCAUGAAGAACCAACUAUCAUGAAUUUUGGAUGCGGUGAUCUGCUACUGGUACUCAGGUAUGGAGUUUUGAAUUCAAUUUAUAAUUCAAAUAUGAUCUGAUUUGAUAUAGAUA
rnacentral:lncRNA from 1 species